rnacentral:lncRNA from 1 species
UGGUGGGAUUGGUCUCUAAUUUCUGGAAUCCUAGUGAACUGAGGUAGUUUUUGAGCUCUCAUAUUAUUUUCUUGUUGUUUUUGUUUCUUUUGUUCGGGAUUUUAUUUUGUACCUUGAGUCUUUUGAUCUAUUCGUGUUGAACAAAGAGGACGUGGUUGUAUUUAUAACAAUUUAUAAAUGAAUUUUUGAAUGGAUUAUGGUCUCAUGAUUUUUUCUUUUUACAUUUAGAGGGUCCUCCACAUAAAGAAAUUUAGUCUCCUUUACUUUAUUGCGUAUAUUGGGGAUGAUUGGUUGGGGCUGUAGAUGCUCUGAACAGCCAAAAUUUAGUCUACAACUAUAUAUGUUAACCAAUCGAGCUUUGCUUUCCUUAAAAAACUCACAGCAAAAAAAUCUCUGCAAAAUCAAAAUAUGGCUGUAGAGAGCUUUAUUUCCAGAGCAAAAAAUUAGUGCUUUAGAUAUCUACAGCAAGGAAAGCUAUAGCAAAUAAAUCUACAGAUUAAAUUCUACAGCAAAAAAUAUAAAGCUACAUCACUUACCAAUCAU